AAACUACUCCCUUCGUUCGAAAAUACUUGUCAUAAAAAUGGUUGUAUCUAGACUUAUUUUAGUUAUAGAUACAUCCAUUUUAUCCAUUUCUAGGACAAGUAUUUCAGGAUGGAGGGAGCAUAUA
rnacentral:pre_miRNA from 1 species